GGGCCCGGCAGGCCGCUGACCUCCCUAAAGAACCAGGGGAAAGAACUACCCGCCCACCCACCCUCCCCGGCCGCACGGCUCGUGUCACUCGUCCGAGUGACCGGCUUGCAGGGUCGGGAUACGGACGGUUACGUUCGCCGCGACAACCGCACACAGACUUCGGCCCCCGCCGGGACUGCAAUCCCGAACGAGGGCCUGACCGAUCGAGAAGGAACGACUUCCCG
rnacentral:ncRNA from 1 species